rnacentral:lncRNA from 1 species
GCUGGCCCGUGGUCCUGGAAUCAAUCCAUCAGCUAGAAGGGGGCCUCCUAUGGAAUUCAGUCCAAGAGGAUCGACUAUGUUAUCUUCACCUAAUGCCCACAUGAAAUUAACUCCUCAAAACUAUGAAAAACUAUUCGAGCAAAGGCACCAAGCUGACAGGAAGAAUGAAGUGGGUAAAGUGAGUGAUGAAGAGCAGGUCAAGCAAAGGCAGUUAAAGGCUAUAGUGAACAAGUUAACUCCUCAAAACUUUGAAAAACUAUUCGAGCAAGUGAAAGCUGUUAAUAUAGAUAAUGCGACUACUCUAACUGGUGUCAUUUCACAUAUCUUUGACAAGGCUCUUAUGGAGCCUACUCUCUGUGAGAUGUAUGCUAACUUCUGUUUUUAUCUUGCCGGAGAGUUGCCUGAUUUCAGUGAAGACAAUGAAAAGAUAACUUUUAGGAGAUUGCUUUUGAACAAGUGCCAGGAGGAAUUUGAGAGGGGAGAAAGAGAGCAAGAGGAGGCCAAUAAGGCUGAUGAGGAGGGUCAGGUAAAACAGUCUGAAGAAGAAAGAGAGGAGAAAAGAAUCAAGGGGCGAAGAAGAAUGUUGGGUAACAUUAGCUUGAUUGGGGAGCUAUACAAAAAGAGAAUGUUGAUCGAGAGAGUAAUGCACGAAUGCAUUAAAAAGAUGUUAGGUCAGCAACAGACUCCAGAUGAGGGCGAUAUUGAAGCUUUGUGCAAACUAAUGAGCACAAUUGGGGAGAUGAUUGAUCAUCCGAAAGCCAAGGAGCACAUGGAUGCAUAUUUUGAAAGGAUGAAAAGCUUAUCGAAUAACUUGAAAUUAUCUUCUAGGGUUAGGUUCAUGUUGAAGGAUGCAAUUGAUUUGAGAAAGAAUAAAUGGCAGCAGAGGAGCAAAGUUGAAGGACCAAAAAAGAUUGAGGAAGUGCACAGAGAUGCUGCACAAGAACUACAGGCACAGUCUAGUAGGCUGGCGCGUGGUCCUGGAAUCAAUCCAUCAGCUAGAAGGGGGCCUCGUAUGGAAUUCAGUCCAAGAGGAUCGACUAUGUUAUCUUCACCUAAUGCCCACAUGAAAUUAACUCCUCAAAACUAUGAAAAACUAUUCGAGCAAAGGCACCAAGCUGACAGGAAGAAUGAAGUGGGUAAAGUGAGUGAUGAAGAGCAGGUCAAGCAAAGGCAGUUAAAGGCUAUAGUGAACAAGUUAACUCCUCAAAACUUUGAAAAACUAUUCGAGCAAGUGAAAGCUGUUAAUAUAGAUAAUGCGACUACUCUAACUGGUGUCAUUUCACAUAUCUUUGACAAGGCUCUUAUGGAGCCUACUCUCUGUGAGAUGUAUGCUAACUUCUGUUUUUAUCUUGCCGGAGAGUUGCCUGAUUUCAGUGAAGACAAUGAAAAGAUAACUUUUAGGAGAUUGCUUUUGAACAAGUGCCAGGAGGAAUUUGAGAGGGGAGAAAGAGAGCAAGAGGAGGCCAAUAAGGCCGAUGAGGAGGGUCAGGUAAAACAGUCUGAAGAAGAAAGAGAGGAGAAAAGAAUCAAAGGGCGAAGACGAAUGUGGGGUAACAUUAGAUUAAUUGGGGAGCUAUACAAAAAGAAAAUGUUGACUGAGAGAAUUAUGCACGAAUGCAUUAAAAAGAUGUUAGGUCAGCAACAGACUCCAGAUGAGGAAGAUAUUGAAGCUUUGUGCAAACUAAUGAGCACAAUUGGGGAGAUGAUUGAUCAUCCGAAAGCCAAGGAGCACAUGGAUGCAUAUUUUGAAAGGAUGAAAAGCUUAUCGAAUAACAUGAAAUUAUCUUCUAGGGUUAGGUUCAUGUUGAAGGAUGCAAUUGAUUUGAGAAAGAGUAAAUGGCAGCAGAGGAGCAAAGUUGAAGGACCAAAAAAGAUUGAGGAAGUGCACAGAGAUGCUGCACAAGAACUACAGGCACAAUCUAGUAGGCUGGCCCGUGGUCCUGGAAUCAAUCCAUCAGCUAGAAGGCGGCCUCGUAUGGAAUUCAGUCCAAGAGGAUCGACUAUGUUAUCUUCACCUAAUGCCCACAUGAAAUUAACUCCUCAAAACUAUGAAAAACUAUUCGAGCAAAGGCACCAAGCUGACAGGAAGAAUGAAGUGGGUAAAGUGAGUGAUGAAGAGCAGGUCAAGCAAAGGCAGUUAAAGGCUAUAGUGAACAAGUUAACUC